UACACACCUUUAUCAUUUUUGAGAAAGUAACAAGAAAACAGGUUAAUCUCAGGCCAGUUCUCUAUUAUACAGUGCUCUCUAGCAAUUCAAAACAAUGACAGAGAUAACAUACACACAGCAUGUACAAUAUACCGCUACACAUCAGUCUGACUGCAACAUUGCCAUCCACAGGGAAUUGAGGUCUCAGAAUUGGCAACUACAAAGCUUCAGAUGUUAUAAUUACAUCUUCAGGGAAACAGGAACUUCUUAGGCAAACAAUUAACAUCCUUGCCAAUUGUAUUAUCAGUUGUAAGUGUGAGCUUCAACUUAAAACUAGCCAGGUUUUCAGCUCUUCUCAUUUCCCCUUGCUUGUAGUGCUAAUAUGGUAUAUCAACAUGGGAUCACUGGAUACAUCUGCAGUGAUGUGGACAAAA